AUUGAACGCUGGCGGCAGGCCUAACACAUGCAAGUCGAGCGGCGCGGCGGACGGGUGAGUAGUGCCUAUGAAUCUGCCUGGUCGUGGGGGAUAACGUCCGGAAACGGGCGCUAAUACCGCAUACUAUCAGAUUAGCCUCGGUCGGAUUAGCUAGUUGGUGGGGUAAAGGCCUACCAAGGCGACGAUCCGUAACUGGUCUGAGAGGAUGAACAGGCACACUGGAACUGAGAGACGGUCGAGACUCCUACGGGAGGCAGCAGGGGGGAAGAUUGGAAAAUGGGCGAAAGCCUGAACCACCCAUGCCGCGUGUGUGAAGAAGGUCUUCGGAUUGUAAAGCACUUUAAGUUGGGAGGCGUUACCAACAGAAGAAGCACCGGCUAACUUCGUGCCAGCAGCCGCGGUAAUAC
rnacentral:rRNA from 1 species